GAUGAACGCUGGCGGCGUGCCUAAUACAUGCAAGUCGAGCGAAUGGAUUAAGAGCUUGCUCUUAUGAAGUUAGCGGCGGACGGGUGAGUAACACGUGGGUAACCCGCCCAUAAGACUGGGAUAACUCCGGGAAACCGGGGCUAAUACCGGAUAACAUUUUGAACAUCAUGGUUGGAAAUUGAAUGGCGGCUUCGGCUGUCACUUAUGGAUGGACCAGCGUCGCAUUAGCUAGUUGGUGAGGUAACGGCUCACCAAGGCAACGAUGCGUAGCCGACCUGAGGGGGUGAUCGGCCACACUGGGACUGAGACACGGCCCAGACUCCUACAGGAGGCAGCAGUAAGAAAUCUUCCGCAAUGGACGAAAGUCUGACGGAUCAACGCCGCGUGAGUGAUGAAGGCUUUCGGGUCGUAAAACUCUGUUGUUAGGGAAGAACAAGUGCUAGUUGAAUAAGCUGGCACCUUGACGGUACCUAACCAGAAAGCCACGGCUAACUACGUGCCAGCAGCCGCAGUAA
rnacentral:rRNA from 1 species